CCUAGCGGCAGACGGGUGCGUAACAUGUGGGAAUCUGCCUUUUGGUUCGGAACAACACGGGGAAACCUGUGCUAAUACCGGAUAAGUCCUUACGGAGAAAGUUUUAAUGCCAAAAGAUGAGCCCGCAUUUGAUUAGCUAGUUGGUAAGGUAAUGGCUUACCAAGGCAACGAUCAAUAGCUGAUUUGAGAGGAUGAUCAGCCACAUUGGGACUGAGACACGGCCCAGACUCC
rnacentral:rRNA from 1 species